ACUCCUACGGGAGGCAGCAGUGGGGAAUAUUGCACAAUGGGGGAAACCCUGAUGCAGCCAUGCCGCGUGUGUGAAGAAGGCCUUCGGGUUGUAAAGCACUUUCAGUAGGGAGGAAGGUAGUGUAGUUAACACCUGCAUUAUUUGACGUUACCUACAGAAGAAGCACCGGCUAACUCCGUGCCAGCAGCCGCGGUAAUACGGAGGGUGCGAGCGUUAAUCGGAAUUACUGGGCGUAAAGCGCAUGCAGGCGGCCUGUUAAGUCAGAUGUGAAAGCCCGGGGUCGUUAACCUCGGAAUUGCAUUUGAAACUGGCAGGCUAGAGUCUUGUAGAGGGGGUUAGAAUUUCAGGUGUAGCGGUGAAAUGCGUAGAGAUCUGAAGGAAUACCAGUGGCGAAGGCGGCCCCCGUGGACAAAGACUGACGCUCAGAUGCGAAAGGCGUGGGGAGCAAACAGGAUU
rnacentral:rRNA from 1 species